rnacentral:rRNA from 1 species
GCAUGGGGGAACCCUGAUGCAGCGACGCCGCGUGGAGGAAGAAGGUCUUCNUNAAANUAAACUCCNGNUGUUGAGGAAGAUAAUGACGGUACUCAACNUNGCAAGUGACGGCUAACUACGUGCCAGCAGCCGCGGUAAAACGUAGGUCACAAGCGUUGUCCGGAAUUACUGGGUGUAAAGGGAGCGCAGGCGGGAGAACAAGUUGGAAGUGAAAUCCAUGGGCUCAACCCAUGAACUGCUUUCAAAACUGUUUUUCUUGAGUAGUGCAGAGGUAGGCGGAAUUCCCGGUGUAGCGGUGGAAUGCGUAGAUAUCGGGAGGAACACCAGUGGCGAAGGCGGCCUACUGGGCACCAACUGACGCUGAGGCUCGAAAGUGUGGGUAGCAAACAGGAUUAGAUACCCUGGUAGUCCAAGGGCGAAUUC